rnacentral:rRNA from 1 species
UACGGAGGGUGCAAGCGUUUGUCCGGAUUUAUUGGGUUUAAAGGGUGCGUAGGCGGCCCUGUAAGUCAGUGGUGAAAUACUGCAGCUUAACUGUAGCAUUGCCAUUGAUACUGUAGGGCUUGAGUACAGAUGAGGUAGGCGGAAUUGAUGGUGUAGCGGUGAAAUGCAUAGAUACCAUCAAGAACACCGAUUGCGAAGGCAGCUUACUAAGCUGUAAACUGACGCUGAGGCACGAAAGCGUGGGGAUCGAACAGG